GCUGAAAUAGCUCAGUUGUGAGAGCUUUAGUCUGAAAAUCUAUAGGUCCCUUGUUUGAUCCUGGGUUUUGGCA
rnacentral:tRNA from 1 species